rnacentral:rRNA from 1 species
AUGGAAGAGCUGGGCCCUCCGCGCGUGAAGUUCUUUCACUGGCUCGCUAACCUGGGACGCUGCUGGACAGCCGACCGCCUUGCCCACCGUGGACUGCCGCACCCUGCCCACUGCCCACUUUGUGAUCAAGCGCCCGAAUCGCUCCAUCACCUGUUCCUGGCAUGCCCCUUCUCCAAGCUGGUAUGGCACGAAAUCCUUUCCUGGCUGCGCCUUACGUGCAACGCGCCAGAUGGCGAGGACUCCCUGACCAGAUGGUGGCGCACAGCACGACAGACCACGCCCAAGCCGAUGCAAAAAGGCCUCUCCACCGCGACGCUGCUGAUCCCUUGGAUGACCUGGAAGCAUCGCAACGAAUGCGUCUUCGACGCAGCAACCCCAUCGCCAAACACUCUGAUCGAGGAUCAAGGACGAAGCUGUGCUUUGGGCGAGCGCAGGCGCACGAGGACUGCGUGA